rnacentral:rRNA from 1 species
UACGUAGGGGGCGAGCGUUGUCCGGAUUCAUUGGGCGUAAAGCGCGCGCAGGCGGCCCGGUAAGUCGGAUGUGAAAUCCCACGGCUCAACCGUGGAACUGCAUUCGAUACUGUCGGGCUAGAGGCAGGUAGGGGAGAUCGGAAUUCCUGGUGUAGCGGUGAAAUGCGCAGAUAUCAGGAGGAACACCAGUGGCGAAGGCGACUACCUGGCCCGUUCUUGACGCUGAGGCGCGAAAGCUAGGGGAGCAAACGGG